rnacentral:misc_RNA from 1 species
AAGUCGUAACAAGGUUUCCGUAGGUGAACCUGCGGAAGGAUCAUUAACACGUAUCCAAACGUUAAACAACCCCGUGAACAUACAACCUGCUCUGGUCGCCCGCUCGCAUGGCAAUCCCAGUAAAUCAAGCCCCGGAAAGUUUUUGAUUUGGGACCUCUGUGCGCGUGAGAAAAACUGACAGCGAUUCAUAGAAGCGGUAGGUCAAGUGACACGGCGUCCCCAAGUGACCAGUGAAUGAAAGUGUCGCUGGAGCGUCAAGGACGACUCUUCAAGAUUGCUAGAGGUCGACCACCGACCGGCUAACGUGUAUACUGAGCUUCAAAUAUCCAUACGGAUGGGCAGGCCCCCCGAACAACUGUUAACAAUGGAUAUCUUGGUUCUG